rnacentral:rRNA from 1 species
UGGGGAAUCUUGGACAAUGGGCGCAAGCCUGAUCCAGCCAUGCCGCGUGAGUGAUGAAGGCCUUAGGGUUGUAAAGCUCUUUUGCCGGGGACGAUAAUGACGGUACCCGGAGAAUAAGUCCCGGCUAACUUCGUGCCAGCAGCCGCGGUAAUACGAAGGGGACUAGCGUUGUUCGGAAUCACUGGGCGUAAAGCGCACGUAGGCGGAUUUGUAAGUCAGGGGUGAAAUCCCGGGGCUCAACCUCGGAACUGCCUUUGAUACUGCGGAUCUCGAGUCCGAUAGAGGUGAGUGGAAUUCCUAGUGUAGAGGUGAAAUUCGUAGAUAUUAGGAAGAACACCGGUGGCGAAGGCGGCUCACUGGAUCGGUACUGACGCUGAGGUGCGAAAGCGUGGGAGCAAACAGGAUUAGAUACCCAAGUAGUCCCUGAGCGGGCUGGCAAGGCGCAU